GAGUUAGACGUGAGUGAUCUGGCCUGGACUCUGGGAUAACCCCGAGAAAUCGGAGCUAAUACCGGAUAGGACCUUGUACCGCAUGGGGUGGGGUGGAAAGUUUUUUCGGUUUGGGAUGGACUCGCGGCCUAUCAGCUUGUUGGUGAGGUAAUGGCUCACCAAGGCGUCGACGGGUAGCCGGCCUGAGAGGGUGACCGGCCACACUGGGACUGAGACACGGCCCAGACUCCUACGGGAGGCAGCAGUGGGGAAUAUUGCACAAUGGGCGCAAGCCUGAUGCAGCAACGCCGCGUGCGGGAUGACGGCCUUCGGGUUGUAAACCGCUUUUAGUAAGGAAGAAGGGGAGCUUGCUCCUUGACGGUACUUGCAGAAAAAGGACCGGCUAACUACGUGCCAGCAGCCGCGGUAAUACGUAGGGUCCGAGCGUUGUCCGGAAUUAUUGGGCGUAAAGAGCUCGUAGGCGGUUUGUCGCGUCUGCUGUGAAAUCCCGAGGCUCAACCUCGGGUCUGCAGUGGGUACGGGCAGACUGGAGUGCGGUAGGGGAGAAUGGAAUUCCUGGUGUAGCGGUGGAAUGCGCAGAUAUCAGGAGGAACACCGAUGGCGAAGGCAGUUCUCUGGGCCGUAACUGACGCUGAGGAGCGAAAGCGUGGGGAGCGAACAGGAUUAGAUACCCUGGUAGUCCACGCCGUAAACGUUGGGCGCUAGAUGUGGGGACCUUUCCACGGUUUCCGUGUCGUAGCUAACGCAUUAAGCGCCCCGCCUGGGGAGUACGGCCGCAAGGCUAAAAACUCAAAGGAAUUGACGGGGGCCCGCACAAGCGGCGGAGCAUGCGGAUUAAUUCGAUGCAACGCGAAAGAACCUUACCAAGGCUUGACAUAACCGAGAACGCUGCAGAAAUGUAGAACUCUUUUGGACACUCGGUUACAGGUGGUGCAUGNUUGUCGUCAGCUCGUGUCGGGGAGAUGUUGGGGUUAAGUCCCCGCAACGA
rnacentral:rRNA from 1 species